rnacentral:rRNA from 1 species
AGCAGUCGCCACGGUAAAACAGAGGGUGCGAGCGUUAAUCGGAUUUACUGGGCGUAAAGCGUGCGUAGGCGGCUUCUUAAGUCGGAUGUGAAAUCCCUGAGCUUAACUUAGGAAUUGCAUUCGAUACUGGGAAGCUAGAGUAUGGGAGAGGAUGGUAGAAUUCCAGGUGUAGCGGUGAAAUGCGUAGAGAUCUGGAGGAAUACCGAUGGCGAAGGCAGCCAUCUGGCCUAAUACUGACGCUGAGGUACGAAAGCAUGGGGAGCAAACAGGAUUAGAUACCCCAGUAGUCCCUGUCUCUUAUAC